rnacentral:rRNA from 1 species
AUUGAACGCUGGCGGCAGGCUUAACACAUGCAAGUCGAGCGGAGAUGAGGUGCUUGCACCUUAUCUUAGCGGCGGACGGGUGAGUAAUGCUUAGGAAUCUGCCAUUUAGUGGGGGACAACAUUCCGAAAGGAAUGCUAAUACCGCAUACGUCCUACGGGAGAAAGCAGGGGAUCUUCGGACCUUGCGCUAAAUGAUGAGCCUAAGUCGGAUUAGCUAGUUGGUGGGGUAAAGGCCUACCAAGGCGACGAUCUGUAGCGGGUCUGAGAGGAUGAUCCGCCACACUGGGACUGAGACACGGCCCAGACUCCUACGGGAGGCGGCAGUGGGGAAUAUUGGACAAUGGGCGGAAGCCUGAUCCAGCCAUGCCGCGUGUGUGAAGAAGGCCUUUUGGUUGUAAGGCACUUUAAGCGAGGAGGAGGCUACUAGUACUAAUACUACUGGAUAGUGGACGUUACUCGCAGAAUAAGCACCGGCUAACUCUGUGCCAGCCGCCGCGGUAACAC